CUUUGGGGCAGGCAUGUUUUGGUAUUUAGGGAGGCAGAGGUAAGAAGGCUGAGCUAAGACCUUCAAGACCAGUACACAUCCUGACACCCGUAUAGUAGAAAGUUGACUGGAGUGCUGCAUUUCCCUAAAAUUCGUGACUUUAUUGAAGAUGGGCCUGUGGUUUUUUCCACCAGUUUUGCAGUAUGCUGUGUGUCAUAAAUAAUUGUUGCUGCAGCCUCUGACUCCGGAAUCGGUGUGAAACAGAUGAAGGGGAACCUGGUGACUGCAGGAACACAUCAGUUAGCUGUUUGUUGUGGGUUUCUUGUCAAGGAUGAAUUCGGACCCCUGGCUGUCUGAAAGCUAAGUAGAGGCACAGGUGCUGGAGGGGGGGGCAAGGUUGACAGUUUCAGGGAGGAGUUUUCAAGUCUGGGUAGAGCAGAGGGCUAUCCAGCAGGAGUCUCCUCUGAGUAGGUAAAGGGAGUGGGUUAUUCUUCAGCACAAAGCUAGUGUGUGCUGGGCAGGGCAGUUCUGGCCUGUGUCUGUUGUUGUGUAGUUUGUGUGCUCUGUCUUCUGUGUCUUGGACUUUCCUUAGGUUUUGAUGUCCUCGUUUCUCUUUGCACUCAAGGGGCACAGCAUGUGCCUUGGGCAGCCUCUGUAGAGUCUCAAAUGCCUCCGCUAAUUGGCAGAGCGCUCAAUGGGCACUUCUUGCAUAACAAUUCUAAAGUGCAGAUCGGACUUGUCUCUUGGAAGUUUCUGGAUAGUCCUCUUCUGCAGCAUCGUUCAUGGCUGCAUGAGCAGCUCUGUUCUCUGAGCUAUAGCAGCUCUAGCCAUCUGCUUUUAUGAACUGGGAUUUCUUCCCUGCAUCCUUACAUUCUCAGGUCUUGAAGCCAGGCUUCCUGCGCAUAUGUCAUCUCCAUUUUGACAGGAACUUCUUGGAAUGGGCUGUUACAUUUGACUCUUUUAUGAUUUUUAUGACUUUGCCACAGAGCCUCCUCACGUCUGUGCUGUGGCCAUCGGUCUUCUUGCCCAACAGCGUCUCUUGUCUGAAAGUCAUUCUUCUUGUGGAGAGUUUUCUCUCAUCUUGGAGUCAUGUUGUUGUCUAUAGUGCUGUGUGGUGUUGUGCUGCACAUGGGUGUGUUUGGCAUGGAGCUGCCCUGCCUGGGGGUGUAGAGUCAGGGGUAGGUGGAACAGCAAUAAGAGUCUAUAGGUAAUAUGUUGAUCUGCCAAGACUGUUUAGCCAAAGGUUGUACAGUAAUCUGGGAUCAAGCAGCCAUUGGCAGGGACAGUCAUUUCCAUAGUGUUUUAUGGGGAUGAUUGGAGCCUCCUGGGAGGGCCUGUUUGGCAGUAGUGAAGCAGAUUGAAGGUGUUAAGGCUUGUAUGUGUGGGGAUUAACAUUGAGUCCAAUUUUUUUUAAUGGCAGGCUGUAGUUGGAGCCUAGAUGAUAUUCCUAAAUGGAAACAAGACCCCUGGAAUUGUUCAGCUACUGAUGAGCAUCUGGGUGACUUGUUUACUAAUUUUUUCAGAUGCAGAGGGACAAGAUGUGCACCAAAGAGUCAUGGAGAAGGCAAGCGGGACCCUGUAAGAAGGUGGGUCAGUUCACAGUGCUGGAGGGAAGCUGUGACUGGUGGCUAUGUCAUUAUAUUGUGGCUUGGUGGUGGGGUGUGGUUUUUUUUUCAUUUUGAAGGUAUGAAGUGAUGAGUAAAGCAGGAUAUUGGCACCGGAUGUGACUCUCGGGUAAGGUGGUCAAUGAAUAGCAGGCUGAAGCAGCAAUUCUUCUCAGAUGUUAUAUUGUGGGUGAAGUUUUUAGUGUCCUUUGUGUCUGUUUUACAGGUAGUCUGUAAGCCUCAAAGCGGCAGCCCAAAACCAUGGAGGGCAGGUGGGCGAGAGGCCAGGGUAAAGGAGUAGGAGACAGGAAUGGCUGUAGGCAGGCUGAGGUGUUGGGCAGUAUGUCAGCACAUGUCUUUUGGUUGGCUUUUUUUUUUUUUUUCAGAUGCAGGACGCAGGCUCAGAGGGACUAAGCAGCAUGCUGAUGAGUGUGCUGAGAAGGUGCCCUGUGAGCCAUCUUUGGAAGUGGAUGAGCAUUAGAGGUGAGCCGAGGCAGCAGUGAGGAGGAGCUUGUGGCUGGUGAUUUCUCACACGUGCAACAGUAAUUUUGUUUCUUGGUAUCUCAAGCAAUGAUGGCCACAGCAUUUGACUCUGGAAGGAGCAGAUGAUGAUGAGGAACGUGGUGACUACAGGAAUGUCCCAGAUAGUCGAUGUGCUGGUGUGUUUUUUUUCUUUUUUUUUUUGUCGACAUCGGAUUUAAGACCUCCAGCCCUCUGGAAGCUAAGUUGAGUGGCCAGGGCUGGGGAGGGGCUGGGAGGGGAGAAGUUUGUGAUUUACAGGGAGGUGUCUUAAAGUUAGAGAAGGGCAGAGGACUGUCCUGGAGCCGUCCCCUUUGGGCAGGUAAAGGGAGCGGGUUAGUCUUCAGCACAAUGCUAGCAUGAGCCGGGCAGGGCGGUUCCAGCCUGCAUCUGUUGUGUUGUUUGUGUGGUCUGUCUUCUGUGUCUUAAACCUUCCUUGGGUCUCGAUGCGCUCUUUACACUUGAGGAGCACAGCCUGUACUUCAGGCACCAUCCCAAGAGUCUUGAAUGCCAGUACUCAUCGGCACUGCCCCAGUCAGGCCCCACGUUUCUUGCAUUAUAAGCUUAAACAGUGGAUCGGUCUUGCAUCUUGGAAGUUUCUGGGUGGUCCUCAACUGCAGCAUUGUUCCUGGCUGCGUGAGCAGCUCUGUUCUCUAGCCAUCCAUUUUCAGUGACUGGGACUUCUUCCCUGCAUCCUUAAGGUCUUAGGUCUUGAAGCCAGGCUUCCUGCACGUACAUCUCAGUUUGAGUCACUUGUUGUACCGGAUCAUUACAUUGUACUCAUUUCUUGGGGUUUCCCUAGAGCCUUCUCGUGUCACCACUGUGGUCUUGCAGGUCUUCUUGCCCGACAGUCGCUUAUGUUGGUGUCAUCCUUCUUGCUGAGAGUUUUCCCUCAUCAGAGAGGUGCAUUGUUUGUAGUGUUCUGUGUAAUGUUGGUCUGUGCUUGUGUGUGUUUGGCUCGGAGCUGCUCUGCCCAGUCAUGUAAACUCUGGGGUAGGUGGAACAUCAAUAGGAGUCUAUGGUUAGUUUGUUGAUCUACCUAGACUGUUGAGGCAAAGCUGGUACAGUCAACUCCCAUCAAGUAGCCAUCAGCAGGUUGCAUGGGCAGCUCUUUAAUUAAUGGGGUUGUUUUGGGAUGAGCAGAGCUAUGUGGGAGGGGCUGUUCAGCAGUAGUGAAGCAGACUGCAUCACGAAGAUGUUAAGGUUGCCUUGUGUGGGGUGUAAUGUUUGUGUGUUGUGUUGUUUUUUUUUUCUUUUAAUGUCAGGCUGUAAUUGUACUCCAGAUGGUAUUUCUAAGGCAAAACAAGACCUUUUUGAGGGUGUGCGCGUGUCACAUGCGGUUCCCCCUGAAAGAGGCAGUUCACAGCCCAACAAAUGCCUGAAAAUUCAUGUGGGGAAUGUGUGUUUAAAAAAUAAUAAAACCUGUAUAUAUGGGUAUGAGGCAUUGAAAUAAAGAACAAUUUCUCAUUUUUAUACAUAUUGAAAAAUAUAAGUGUAUGUAUAUAAAAAGGAGUUCAA